UUUCCGUAGGUGAACCUGCGGAAGGAUCAUUCAUAAUAAAGUGUUAUAUGGCACUUUUUUAAUCUCCAUAUCCACCUUGUGUGCAAUGUUAGAUCUAGUCAAUCUUGGCGAGAGUUUUAUACAUCAACUCAUUCUUAAACUUAUUUGUCUGAAAAAUAUUAUGAAUAUUUAUUUCAAAGUACAACUUUCAACAACGGAUCUCUUGGCUCUC
rnacentral:misc_RNA from 1 species